UGCUGUCAAGAAGUGGACAUAGUUGAUCACAUUCUAGCUUGGUGGGUUUAUGUGUGGCAAGUAUGGAGUGGCUGCUUCGAGUUCUUACAAGUCAACAUACAAAUUCCAAAUCUUGAGGACACUUUUAUGGAGUGGUGGGAGAAGACACCAGAUUCCUUCCAAGGCAAGGUCAAAAGAGGGUCCGACUCCUUCGUCAUCGCAACCGCGUGGCACUUGUGGAAGCAAAGGAAUGCAAGAGUGUUCAAUCGGAAUGAUCAUGUUAGAUCGGGCCCAAGCCUAGUGCAACAAAUCCAGGAGGAGAUCAAACUUUGGAAGAUGGCGGGAGUACGAGUCGAG
rnacentral:rRNA from 1 species